rnacentral:rRNA from 1 species
GCACAAGCGGCGGAGCAUGUGGAUAAUUCGAUGCAACGACGAAGAACCUUACCUGGGUUGACAUACACCGGAAAACCGUAGAGAUACGGUCCCCCUUGUGGUCGGUGUACAGGUGGUGCAUGGCUGUCGUCAGCUCGUGUCGUGAGAUGUGGGUUAAGUCCCGCAACGAGCGCAACCCUUGUCUUAUGUUGCCAGCACGUGAUGGUGGGGACUCGUAAGAGACUGCCGGGGUCAACUCGGAGGAAGUGGGGACGACGUCAAGUCAUCAUGCCCCUUAUGUCCAGGGCUUCACACAUGCUACAAUGGCCAGUACAGAGGGCUGCGAGACCGUGAGGUGGAGCGAAUCCCUUAAAGCUGGUCUCAGUUCGGAUCGGGGUCUGCAACUCGACCCCGUGAAGUCGGAGUCGCUAGUAAUCGCAGAUCAGCAACGCUGCGGUGAAUACGUUCCCGGGCCUU